CCAGACUCCUACGGGAGGCAGCAGUGAGGAAUCUUCCACAAUGGGCGAAAGCCUGAUGGAGCAACGCCGCGUGCAGGAUGAAGGCCUUCGGGUUGUAAACUGCUUUUAUAAGUGAGGAAUAUGACGGUAACUUAUGAAUAAGGAUCGGCUAACUACGUGCCAGCAGCCGCGGUCAUACGUAGGAUCCGAGCGUUAUCCGGAGUGACUGGGCGUAAAGAGUUGCGUAGGUGGUUUAUUAAGUAGGUGAUGAAAGCUGGUGGCUCAACCAUUCAGAUUGUUAUCUAAACUGGUAAACUUGAGAGUAGCAGAGGUAACUGGAAUUUCUAGUGUAGGAGUGAAAUCCGUAGAUAUUAGAAGGAACACCAAUGGCGUAGGCAGGUAACUGGACCAUUUCUGACACUAAGGCACGAAAGCGUGGGGAGCGAACCGGAUUAGAUACCCGGGUAGUCCACGCCGUAAACGAUGGAUACUAGCUGUUGGAGGUAUCGACCCCUUCAGUAGCGAAGCUAACGCGUUAAGUAUCCCGCCUGUGGAGUACGGCCGCAAGGCUAAAACAUAAAGGAAUUGACGGGGACCCGCACAAGCGGUGGAUCGUGUUCUUUAAUUCGAUGCUAAACGAAGAACCUUACCAGGGCUUGACAUCCAGGGAAUUUUUGGGAAACCAAUUAGUGCCUUUUGGAACCCUGUGACAGGUGAUGCAUGGCCGUCGUCAGCUCGUGUCGUGAGAUGUUUGGUUAAGUCCAUCAACGAGCGCAACCCUUGUGAAUAGUUGGAUUUUUCUAUUCAGACUGCCCCGGUAACGGGGAGGAAGGAGGGGAUGAUGUCAGGUCAGUAUUUCCCUUACGUCCUGGGCUAGAAACACGAUACAAUGGCUAGUACAAUGCGCAGCGAAGCCGCGAGGUGGAGCAAAUCGCAUCAAAGCUAGUCCCAGUUCGGAUUGGAGGCUGAAACUCGCCUCCAUGAAGUCGGAAUCGCUAGUAAUCGCAAAUCAGCAAGUUGCGGUGAAUACGUUCCCGGGUCUUGUACACACCGCCCGUCAAACCAUGAAAGUGACCAACACCCGAAGUCCGAUUCGUCGGCCUAAGGUGGGGGGCAUGAUUGGGGUUAAGUCGUAACAAGGUAUCCGUACCGGAAGGUGCGGAUG
rnacentral:rRNA from 1 species